GCUGGACCCAUCACCCUGCCCACCCACGGGGUUGCAGACACGUCGACGUGACCACUACGACCAUAACAGCGUCGAAGAACAGCCAGGAUGACCCUUCUGUGCACCCCUGGGGUAACAGACUCUAGCUUCAUGCUAUGAAAUCCAUUUGGGUGGAAACCCCCUGAAUCUUAGAGGUUUGCCUUUUCUGGACAUAUCACGUGCGUACAUGGAGUCAAACAGCAUGCAGCCUCUUGUGCCUGGCUUCUUUUCUCUCUGUAUUCUGUCUUCGAGGUGAAAACAAUUUUGGGAGCUCUCACCGUGUGCCAAGUCAGUGGCUACACCUUGGAGCGUAAUGAACAUCGAGUCGCACAUCGGACAGCUACCUGCUUGAAUCAGGGGUUGACGUUUCCCUCGAAACCUUCAUUGCCUUAUGGAUAUCGGGGUCUGCGGAACCAGGGGAAGGGCCACUGCGAACAGCCUAGGGUCUAUUAACAGAGUGCAGCGAGGUCCUGGGACAGAGGAGAGAGAAGGGAUUUCCGAGUUCUUCCCGAACGUUCCUGGCCACACCCAGGAAGCAGCCUUGCAGAUAAGUAUUCCAGUUUAUCCGCCCACGGCCUACCCGCCUGCCCUCUCUCAGUCUGUGCAGGAAAGUACAGAACCUCAGAAUCCCCAUGUGGGAGGGGAGAUGGGUGAUCAGAUUUUCUAGCCCUCUAGGUUGCAAACAGAGACCUUGUCCCCAUUUUACGGGGCCCCAGAGAGGGUGACCGUCACACCCCUCUUUUGGCACGGAGGCUAGAAUUUUGUCAACUCCACCAUCAGGAACUUCUGUAGAAUGGAGUUUAAUGACCUCAUAUUGAGAACCUGUAGAUCUGGGGUCAGAAGAAGUGAGUCAGAUGGGGGUUGGGGACUCCUGGUGGCUCUUCUCAGUGCUGGCCCUUUGUCAUCAUCAUAUUUGUAAAGCUUGGCCCAGGGCUCCUUUACCCAGCAGUGGAGUCGAGACGUGGGCACGGUGACUCUAGGGCCAUAUUCUUUCCUCCAGAUCUGGACCCGUGCCCUGAGUCCCAGGUGCCCGAAGCAAGCUCCGGACACACGCUAAGAGGCGCCCCUGACUCUCCUGGCCCAGCUCUGCCAGCCGAUGAAGAGAGCUUAGCUGUUACCAGAAGCAAAACUGAGAUAUGAUUCUGGGUCAGGACUAGGAGGCAUUUGAUGGGGGCAAAAAAGUAUCCGAGGCUGAUCUGUAGGGCCCCCCUCUUUCCUCUCCACUGCCUCACACUGUGGGUUAGUACUGUGCACUCUGGGUGAACGUAGGGCUGGAAGGAUCCCAGGGUGCAGAGAGAGAGAGAGAGAGAGGGACAGACUUCCCGGGGCUACACAGAAUGGCAAAGCUGGAUCAGGACUCUGGAUUCCUGACUCCAUUCACUGCUUCUGCUCAGCUGAAUUUGUCUUACUUUGUCCUGAAGCCCCUUCUGCAGUUUUUGGGGAACAGGGGGUUGGGUGAGGGAGCCCCCGCUUAUCCCGAGGACAUUCUGGGGUGGGAGGGAGGGAGGUAAAGGGGAGUGUGUCUGGGCCCAGCCUCUCUGGCCCAGGGUGCCCUUCUUCUUGCUAGCAGAGACUUCUGGCCAGGCCUGGGCUGGGGGAUGGGGCCUGGGUGCAGUUUUCUCCUGCGGUGUGGUUGGCUCUUUUGUCUUCCAGGAUGGGAUCUACACGGCAAAGGAGCUGGGAGCUGCGCCUGGGCUGCUCACGUGCUGGCUGGGUGCUUCCAGGUAAACCUGGCACAAACACGGACCAAGCACCUUCUCCCAGCGAGAUUCCGGGGAUCCAGAGGUUCACUCCAGAGACACGGUUCCACCCUCUCAGAUCUUCACACCAGAAUGUGCUUUAUCACGGUCUCUGCGAAGGAGUGAGCUCCCCAUCCUGGGAGGUGGCUCUUCCCAGCUGUGUCUCCAGGACUCCUGGUGUGGUCUCUUUGGAGCCCGAGUGACUCUGGACUCCGGCCACAGUGAUACAGGGAGCAGCCUUUGCUGUUUUUCUGGAACUCUGGACAAUUCUCGAGAGACCUCAUCUUUCCCAGCUGCUCAGAUGGAGCCUCAGACAAAAGGAUCAAGGGCCCUUCUGGUUGGCGCUUGGCUGAGGACAGGCCCUGGCUCUGGAGGGCAGCUGGAGGGAGGGCUAUGAGGGAGGCUGGCCGCCCACUGUCCCUCCGUGUCCACCUGGACCCUGCCUAUCAGACCUUACCGUGUGUGCCUGGACACCACUUUUUGGCCUUGUGCCGACUUGAUGGCUCUCUGCAGCCCUGCUCCUGGGCCAAGGCCCCACGGACCGUACCCUUACCAAGGCUGGGUCUGGAAGGACCCUCCAGGCUGGGGCAGGACCACAGGGAUGGGAAUCAGGGUGGAGCUGCCUAGUGGAAGGGAGGCCAGGCACAGCUUCGUGGGCUCCAUCGCCUAGAGUCUGUCUCGCGCCGUUUGCCUUGAGCGAUUCUCAUUUUUGUGGGUGCUUUUUGGAUGAGGUUCUUCUCUGUUGCUCUCUGCCUGAUGGUCACAGGAAGGGGGCAGUCAGGGUCUGGGAGGAGUCUGGGCCUUCCCCCAGUGUGGUUGAGUUUUGGGGGACAGAUGGAGGGGCAGAAGCUGUGCUAUCCUGAAAGGGGAGGGUUUGUAAGAGAUGAGGAGGCCCGGGUAGGGGGAGCUUGCCAGAGGGAGACAGAAACUGGGCCCUUUUCUCAGCAUCCAAAGGGAACAGGCUGGAUCCAGCCUUGUCCCCAGGCUCGAGGGGUCAGAUGACCCCAGCCAGAUCUCUGAUCUCUGUUCCUUAUUGCACAGAUCCUUGAUUCUGUCCUUGGGGGACCAAGCAGUGCAGACCCCAGG